rnacentral:rRNA from 1 species
CGGGGCGGGCCCAAAUCUUGCAAGUUCGAACGAGACCUUCGGGUCUAGUGGCGCACGGGUGCGUAACGCGUGGGAAUUUGCCCUUGGGUUCGGAAUAACAGUUAGAAAUGACUGCUAAUACCGAAUGAUGUCUUCGGACCAAAGAUUUAUCGCCCAGGGAUGAGCCCGCGUCGGAUUAGCUAGUUGGUGAGGUAAAGGCUCACCAAGGCGACGAUCCGUAGCUGGUCUGAGAGGAUGAUCAGCCACACUGGGACUGAGACACGGCCCAGACUCCUACGGGAGGCAGCAGUGGGGAAUAUUGCACAAUGGGGGAAACCCUGAUGCAGCAACGCCGCGUGAGUGAUGACGGUCUUCGGAUUGUAAAGCUCUGUCUUUAGGGACGAUAGUGACGGUACCUAAGGAGGAAGCCACGGCUAACUACGUGCCAGCAGCCGCGGUA